GGUUGCGAUCAUAACAACACUAAAGCACCGGAUCCUAUCAGAACUCUGAAGUUAAGCGUGCUUGGGCGAGAGUAAUACUAGGAUGGGUGACCCCUUGGGAAGUCCUCGUGUUGCACCCC